rnacentral:rRNA from 1 species
UACGGGGGGGGCAAGCGUUGUUCGGAAUUACUGGGCGUAAAGGGCUCGUAGGUGGCCAACUAAGUCAGACGUGAAAUCCCUCGGCUUAACCGGGGAACUGCGUCUGAUACUGGAUGGCUUGAGUUUGGGAGAGGGACGCGGAAUUCCAGGUGUAGCGGUGAAAUGCGUAGAUAUCUGGAGGAACACCGGUGGCGAAGGCGGCGUCCUGGACCAAUACUGAUGCUGAGGAGCGAAAGCCAGGGGAGCAAACGGGG